CCCCAAGAUGCUUCUCAUUUAGAAGAAAAAGGUAAAAGAUUUGGAAAAAAGAAUCAGCUGCCUGGAUGCCGUAUGUGGAAGUUGAGCUCUCCUGCUGGAGAGGCCAUGGAAGAAAAUCAAGGUGCUCUCAUUGACAGCCCAAUUGUCAGCCAUGUGAGCAAGACUGUCCAGGUCCAACCAGCCACCAGUUGACCCACCGAGAUCUGCCAACAGAUUGGAAAUGCCACACGAGUCCAACUGAGAUCAUAUGGAGCAGAUAUGGGCUUUCCCAGCUGAACUCAGCCCAAAUUACUGACCUAAAAAGUUGAGGAUAAAUAAGUAACAGUCAUUUUAAGCUACUAAGCUUUGGGAGUGAUUUGUUACACAGUAAUAGCCCAGCUAUGGAAUUCCGAGACUUAAUCCCAUUUUGGCCUCCGGUCCCAACUGAGACCUCAAUGAUCCCAGUGAUGCUGUGAUUCUCCAGGACAAGAAACAUCCUGGGAGUUGAAAACAUCCUGGGAGAAACAAACAUCUACUCCGUUCUUCAUGGUUCUUGGAUUGUUACAUCUUGUUUACGCAGAUGUACUGAACUCUCCGCAAGUCAUUUGUUACAUUUGUUUCUCCCAAUGUACUGAAUAAAAGGUGAGGUAAGCUGGGGCCUUUCGUUUUUGCCAGCCAGAGCGGCACUGAUCAGACCCAAAGCUCAGCUUCUUCUCAGUCUCAUUUUUCUACCUUUCCUGUAAUUCACCUUGUGCUGCCGAGGCUCGCAGGAGACUAGGACUUACUGCAGAGGUUCUAGUAAGGUCCCCUUUCCCUGCUCCCUACAUUUUUGGGCAGAUCUUUCUUAUCCUUUAUUGGCUAAUGUGGGAUUAACUGGCCACCUUAUUGCAAGGGAAGCUGGUAAUGAAGUUUGGUAUUUCAAGUCUCUUAUGGAAGGUGGGUGUACCUUCAGGAAAAAAGAGUGAGGAUAAUGGUUAAAUGGG
rnacentral:lncRNA from 1 species